ensembl:lncRNA
CUCUGCCUCUAUCAGGAACAUGGCUGGAUAGACCACUUCAUUGGUCUCACACUGGAGCACAGGAAAUGAGGUCACUACGUUGACCUCCGGCUGGAGCUCGACAGGUAAGACUACCCCAUUGGUUUCAGGCUCAUUGCUAUAAAAUAAGAUUUUGUCGGCCGCAGAGAAUGGUUAAACUUGCUCAAUCUGGCAACAAGGCCUGAACUGUCCCUGACUUCUCUAUUAGAGCUUAUUGUAGUUCCCAAUGUUGACCACUAGGUGCAAGACUAACUGUAUGGCACUAAAUGGGACCAUGAGCACACCUCAUCUAGAAAAGUGCACAAAUCAACAGUGUGUCUGUGUGUGUGUGUGUGUGUGUGUGUGUGUGUGUGUGUGUGUGUGUGUGUGUGUGUGCGCGCGCGCGUGUGUUCGUAAACUAUAAACAUACCCCUCCUCUCUCAGUCAUCAGAAGUCCUUCACCUUCUUCACCACUGCACUCCAUGAGCUCUGCUCUCUUCGCCUUGCAAAACAAUUUGAUCUGUUCUGAAUAUUUAGGGUUCUCUCUGUACCGUCGUUCCAGUUCCUUCAUCGCCUCCUCUGCCUUCUGCAAAGCCUCUGUGGCACCGACAUGCCUUUUAUUGCCCUGCUCUUUCCCAGGUCGGGCCUGCUGUAUAAGCUUGUUCACAUGCUCCAGCUGCUUGCUCACCUAUUAAACAUACAUUAAAACACACACACACACACACACACACACACACCCCUUCUCAUCUUCGAGAAUCUCUGGGAUUUUUAUCCAAACCCUCCAUGUUAUAAACUGAACAGUAGUAAUUAAAUAACUCCAAGUUACGUAUACAGUGGUGUAAUGUUUUGGAAUGGCCAAGUCAGAGUCCUGACCUGAAACAAGCAGUUCAUGUGAGGAAACCCACCAACAUCCCAGAGUUGAAGCUGUUCUGUACUGAGGAAUGGGAUAAAAACCCCAGAGUCGAUGUGCAGGACUGAUCAACAGUUACCCCAAACGUUUAUCUGCAGUUAUUACUGCACAAGGGUCUCACACCACAUACUCACAGCAAAGGUGCACAUACUUUUACCCUUCACAAAUAUGCAAUAUUGGAUCAUUUUCCUCAAUAAAUAAAUUUCCAAGUAUAAUAUUAUUGUCUUGUUUGUUUAACUGUGUUCUCUUUAUCUACUUUUAGGACUUGUGUGAAAAUCUGAUGAUGUUUUAGAUCAUAUUUAUGCAGAAAUGUAGAAAAUUCUAAAGGGUUCACAAACUUUCAAGCACCACUGUAUAUAUACACUGUCUGAAUUGACAUGUUGAUAAAGAUUGCAUUAUAUGUUGGUACUAUAAAAGAGCUUUUGUGUUUUUUCCUCAUUAUAAAGACACUUUAGUAAGCGCUCACUCUUGUCUAUUGUCUCACACUGAAGAUAAAAGUAAGAAAUCCAUCCAUCCAUUAUCUAUAGCGAUUAUCCUACAGGGUCACAGGGAACCUGGAUCCUGUCCCAGGGAGCAUGGGGCCCAAGGCAGGGGAAACCCUGGACAGGGUGGCAUCCAUCGCAGGGCACAAUCACAUACACACUCGCACACUACGGACACUUUCAGACAUGCCAAUCAGCCUACCAUGCAUGUCUUUGGUCUGGGGAAGGAAACCGGAGUACCCGGAGGAAACCACCACAACACGGGGAGAACAUGCAAACUCCACACACACAGGGUUUCAGGGGAAACCCCCGACCCUGGAGGUGUGAGGCGACCGUGCUAACCACUAAUCCACCGCACACACAAAAGUUUAAAAUGCAGAACAAUAAAAUAUAGAUGAUGUUUAAGAAGACGUGUCAGACGUCCUGAACUAGUGGUGCAGUGGGAAAAAUAAAUAAAUAAAUACAAAACAAAACACUUUAUUUUAUAUACACACACACACCAACACACACACACAUUCAGCUGCUUGAUGCAGUCCUACUUACCUUGAUGAACUCCUGAUGGACUACAUUCUUCUGGUAUUUUAUACAUAGAAAGAGAAGAGUCACCAGCAGAAUCACCACCACCGUCACUAUGAGUCCAAUUAUCCACCGAGGAAACUUCUCAUCUACAAAGACACACACACACACACACAUUACACCUAUCCGUGACAUUUCCCCUGCAGACCGCCAGGUUGCACCCUCCCUGAGACACACUGAGACACACUGAGACGUACCUGUCACAGCGACGGAGUACACACGGAUGUCUUCUUUAUUCUCCGUGUCCCGGAUGGUGUAACGUCCACUAUCACUGUACGUCACGUCUCUCAGUGUGAGCUCUGGGUAACUGAGUGAUGUUCUGUGUGUGUAUUCAGCUUUACACUGUAGUGAGUGUUGAGUCCCGUUACAGAUCCGUUCACCAUCAGCUGAAUCACUGCUUGUAUAAAUCACCUCCACUGGCUCUGGUACGGUCAGAUCCAGGAUCAGAUCUUCACCAGGGUUCUUCUGAACUGCUGAGAACACGGCUGAGGAGAAAACACAUUCAGCUGUAUUUAGAUUGAAAAAGAAAUCAUUCAAGCUGCAUUCAGAGUCCAGAAAUUGCGUGGGGAAAGUUCACACUUCUGAGGUUGCCAGAUUUUUCUUUAGUAGAAGUUUCAGAGACAGGGUUUUAUAAAAGUGUGAAGACCAUCACCUUUAAAUACAACCAUCUUCAUACCUGAAAAAAAUCAGGGAUAGAAAAUGUGGACUGAAGAAGGAAAUUAUAUUUUUCUUUGCUGUAAAAUGUAAAUUGCCGUAUGUCCAAGAAGCAUCUCCUCCGAUGUCCACUGUGUGAAAAACCCUUUUGUGCAAAGUGAAAAUAUGAUAAGUUCAUUAAUACUGAUGUGUGUGAUUUCAGUACUAAACCCUGACUGUGUGAUUAACUCCACUCUGAAAAUGAUCCUAAUCAUUCAGACUGAAUGUUUUAUCCGCAGUAGAAGAGAUAAAGACACUCACUCUCAAUGCUGAGGCGCACAGUAGAGAUUUCUGAGACGCCACACUCACACGAGUACGUGUUCCUCAUUCUGUAAUCAGCUGCAGUGAUGAUGAGAGAGAGAUCUCCAUCCUGGUACUGAUCAUAAGACAUAUUAUAUCCCUUCACCAGUGAGCUGCAUGACGUAUCAUUACACCGAGCGAAGACAACAUCUCGAUUAUUAAAUAAAGACCAUUUGACUGAACCAGAACAUUUAUAUUCACAUGAGAGAGUCACAGGCUGAUGAAGCUUCACUGUUUUAGAACAGACCGCAGAUAAUACCGGAGCUGAAACAGAGAAGAAGCUGACAGUGAGAGUGUGCAGUGAGAGUGUACAGUGAGAGUGUAGAGUGAGAGUGUGCAGUGAGAGUGUAGAGUGAGAGUGAGAGUGUAGAGUGAGAGUGUACAGUGAGAGUGUACAGUGAGAGUGAGAGUGUAGAGUGAGAGUGUGCAGUGAGAGUGUAGAGUGAGAGUGAGAGUGUAGAGUGAGAGUGUACAGUGAGAGUGUACAGUGAGAGUGAGAGUGUAGAGUGAGAGUGUGCAGUGAGAGUGUACAGUGAGAGUGUACAGUGAGAGUGAGAGUGUAGAGUGAGAGUGUACAUGUAGAGUGAGAGUGUAGAGUGUACAGUGAGAGUGAGAGUGUACAGUGAGAGUGUACAGAGUGUAGAGUGUAGAGUGAGAGUGUAGAGUGUAGAGUGAGAGUGUAGAGUGAGAGUGUAGAGUGAGAGUGUAGAGUGAGAGUGUAGAGUGAGAGUGAGAGUGUGCAGUGAGAGUGUAGAGUGAGAGUGUAGAGUGAGAGUGUAGAGAGUUGGUAGUAAAUGUGGUGAGAGAGUGAACGACACUUACCAGUGGUGAAUGUGAGGGUGAGUAAGAGCAGGACACAGUGGUGAACGCUGCAGGACUGCAUGGCUGAGGAGACACAACACCACCAUCAGUACUGCACAGGUGGAGAAUAAAGCAGGAGAGAGAAACACACUCACAGCUACAUUUUAUCAUUAAAGCUGCAGUUUACUGGAAUUUAUUUAAUCGUGAAGUAUUAAUGAGGAAUUCCACUGUGAUCAAUUAUAGUAAAAUAAUCAUUAAUUGGGUGGUGUGAUGAAGUGGAGUUACAGUUUCCACCCACAGCUGAUUAUUUCCCUGGUGAUUAUUAAAAUAACAGAAGCAGGACUGUGUUCCGUCUCAUUAAAACACUGCACCAGCUUCACAGUGUCUGUUAGUGCUGUGUCGGGGUGAGGGUUCACUUCGGCUGUGCUGUCCACCAAAACCGUCUGUGUUAAAUGAACAAACAGAGUGAUACUGAAGGGAGAGAUUUGAUCAUUUGAUUAGAUAAAAUAUUGACGGACUCCUUCCAAAAUUAACAAAUAAUACAGAAACUAUAGAAAACAGUUCACUUUGUGCAUUUUAAUGUAAUUUUAGGGAAUGUCUGGCUUCCUGUGUAGUCUUAAAGCAAUCACCUGUGAACAGCACAUCCCCAAAUGUUUUAUUCCCCAUCAAUUUACCAACAAACACAUUUCUUUAUUUAUUAAAGAACUGCACAUAAUAGACUGAAAAAACCUGAUUGAAUUUUUAUCAAUCAGACGUGUAGAUCAGUUCCACACGACUGAAUUCCUGCAGUGCGAUUGCAGCUCACAUCUUCUAACUGUGUUAAUUAUGGACCCAAGCACAGAAGAGACGUAGGUACAAUAGGUAGGUACAGUAGAGACGCGGUACAAAUAUCCUGACCAAACUGGGGCCUAGUGCUGCCACCACUCUAGCGCCACCAUUUUGUCAAAUUUGGCCCUAAUUUGGAAGUAUGUUUUUGAUAACUUGUUUUGCUUCAAUAAAAUAAAUAAAUAAAUGAAAACUGUAUUGUGUGUUUAUUCAGGUUGCCUUCGUUUUAUGUUGUAUUUCAUUUGAAGAUCUAAAACUAUUUAGUAUGAGAUAUACACAUAAAAAGAAGAAAUCAAGAA